rnacentral:rRNA from 1 species
CCCGGCCGGUGGUUGUGCCGGGGUAAGCGUGUAGGCCGGUGUGUAGGCAAAUCCGCACACCAUGAAGGCUGAGACGUGAUGCCGAGCCGAUUCAGGUGAAGUCAGUGAUCCUAUGCUGCCGAGAAAAGCCUCUAGCGAGUUCUUAGCGGCCCGUACCCCAAACCGACACAGGUGGUCAGGUAGAGAAUACCAAGGCGACGGGCGAACUGUGGUUAAGGAACUCGGCAAAUUACCCCCGUAACUUCGGGAGAAGGGGGGCCGGACACGUGAAGCAACACGCUUGUGGAGCGUGGUAUGGCCGCAGAGACCAGGGGGAAGCGACUGUUUACUAAAAACACAGGUCCAUGCGAAGAAGUAAUUCGAUGUAUAUGGACUGACGCCUGCCCGGUGCUGGAACGUUAAGGGGACCUGUUAGCUCUUCGGGGCGAAGCGGAGAACUUAAGCGCCAGUAAACGGCGGUGGUAACUAUAACCAUCCUAAGGUAGCGAAAUUCCUUGUCGGGUAAGUUCCGACCUGCACGAAUGGCGUAACGACUUCCCUACUGUCUCAACCACAGGCCCGGCGAAAUUGCAGUACGAGUAAAGAUGCUCGUUACGCGCGGCAGGACGGAAAGACCCCGGGACCUUUACUAUAGCUUGACAUUGGUAUCUGAGUUAAUUUGUGUAGGAUAGGUGGGAGCCUGUGAAGCUCGUACGCCAGUACGGGUGGAGGCAAUCUUGAAAUACCACUCUGGUUGAUUCGGGUAUCUAACUUCGGACCGUGAUCCGGUUCAGGUACAGUGUCUGGUGGGUAGUUUAACUGGGGCGGUUGCCUCCUAAAGAGUAACGGAGGCGCCCAAAGGUUCCCUCAGCCUGGUUGGCAAUCAGGUGUUGAGUGUAAGUGCACAAGGGAGCUUGACUGUGAGACUGACAGGUCGAGCAGGGACGAAAGUCGGGACUAGUGAUCCGGCACCGGCAUGUGGAAGCGGUGUCGCUCAACGGAUAAAAGGUACCCCGGGGAUAACAGGCUGAUCUUCCCCAAGAGUCCAUAUCGACGGGGUGGUUUGGCACCUCGAUGUCGGCUCGUCGCAUCCUGGGGCUGUAGCAGGUCCCAAGGGUUGGGCUGUUCGCCCAUUAAAGCGGUACGCGAGCUGGGUUUAGAACGUCGUGAGACAGUUCGGUCCCUAUCCGCCGUGCGCGUAGGAUACUUGAGAAGGGCUGUCCCUAGUACGAGAGGACCGGGACGGACGAACCUCUGGUGUGCCAGUUGUCCCGCCAGGGGCACGGCUGGUUAGCUACGUUCGGAAGGGAUAACCGCUGAAAGCAUCUAAGCGGGAAGCUCGCUUCAAGAUGAGGUAUCCCACCCACACUUGUGUGGGGUAAGGCCCCCAGCUAGACCACUGGGUUGAUAGGCAGGAAAUGUAAGCCCGGUAACGGGUUCAGUUGACCUGUACUAAUAGGCCGAGGACUUGACCC